GAGCAAUCUGCCUUUCAGAGGGGGAUACCGAUUGGAAACGAUCGUUAAUACCGCAUAACAUAAUUGAACCGCAUGAUUUGAUUAUCAAAGAUUUAUCGCUGAAAGAUGAGCUCGCGUCUGAUUAGCUAGUUGGUAAGGUAACGGCUUACCAAGGCGACGAUCAGUAGCCGGACUGAGAGGUUGAUCGGCCACAUUGGGACUGAGACACGGCCCAGACUCCUACGGGAGGCAGCAGUGGGGAAUAUUGCACAAUGGAGGAAACUCUGAUGCAGCGAUGCCGCGUGAGGGAAGAAGGUUUUAGGAUUGUAAACCUCUGUCUUCGGGGACGAAAAAAGACGGUACCUGAGGAGGAAGCUCCGGCUAACUACGUGCCAGCAGCCGCGGUAAUACGUAGGGAGCGAGCGUUGUCCGGAAUUACUGGGUGUAAAGGGAGCGUGGGCGGGAUCGCAAGUCAGAUGUGAAAACUAUGGGCUUAACCCAUAAACUGCAUUUGAAACUGUGGUUCUUGAGUGAAGUAGAGGUAAGCGGAAUUCCUAGUGUAGCGGUGAAAUGCGUAGAUAUUAGGAGGAACAUCAGUGGCGAAGGCGGCUUACUGGGCUUUAACUGACGCUGAGGCUCGAAAGUGUGGGUAGCAAACAGGAUUAGAUACCCUGGUAG
rnacentral:rRNA from 1 species